rnacentral:rRNA from 1 species
AUUGAACGCUGGCGGCAUGCCUUACACAUGCAAGUCGAACGGUAACAGGGAGCUUGCUCCGCUGACGAGUGGCGAACGGGUGAGUAAUGUAUCGGAACGUACCAUUCAGUGGGGGAUAACGUAGCGAAAGUUACGCUAAUACCGCAUAUUCUGUGAGCAGGAAAGCAGGGGAUCGCAAGACCUUGCGCUGAUUGAGCGGCCGAUAUCAGAUUAGCUAGUUGGUGAGGUAAAGGCUCACCAAGGCGACGAUCUGUAGCGGGUCUGAGAGGAUGAUCCGCCACACUGGAACUGAGACACGGUCCAGACUCCUACGGGAGGCAGCAGUGGGGAAUUUUGGACAAUGGGGGCAACCCUGAUCCAGCCAUGCCGCGUGAGUGAAGAAGGCCUUCGGGUUGUAAAGCUCUUUCGGCCGGGAAAAUCGCAUCAGUUAAUACCUGGUGUGGAUGAUGGUACCGGAAUAAGAAGCACCGGCUAACUACGUGACCG